GGGACACACCCACUGUCGCUCAGCAAUGGGAGAAGCUCUGCAUAGACAAAGGCAGGAUGCACUUGCCCUCUAGGCACUAGCUACGUGAUUGAGUCAGCUGUUUAGGGUAUAUAUUAAAUGCACACAUUAAAUUAAAAAGUUAAAUAGUUCUAUUAUAUAUGGACAAAAGGGUAAGUGCAGUCAAUAAGAGAGAGAGGAGAGGAUGUGGUGGGAAUGACGGAGUAGGUUGUUAGCCAUGCUAAAGAGAGGGCUGAGAACCAGGAGAAUCCUGGCAGCAUGGAGCCAGAGGCAGCCUAUAAUUAUUUUUUCUAUAAUUAUCAUCUGACAAUUAUGAAAAAUAGCUUAAGGAAAACAUCAUGGAGGGGAGCAUCUUACAGAGACAAUGACCUCUAAAACACUUAAGCUACCGCACUCCCAGACUCUUUCACAAAUCCUGAUUUCUUUUUUUUUUUUGGCUGCCCCAGAGCAUGCAGGAUCUUAGUUCCCCAACGAGGGAUCGAGCCCCUGCCCCCUGCAGUGGACGCUCAGAGUCCUAACCCCUGGACAACCAGAGAAUUCCUACAAAUCCUGAUUUUAACACCAUAUUCAUUUACUGUUUUCCUCAACAAAUAUUCACUGAGUUUCUACUAGGGGCCAGGCCCUGAGUUAGGCACCGAGGACAUAAGAAGGACCAAGACCUGCCCUCAUGGAGCUCAAGUCUAAGCAUAUCAAGAAUGAAAAAUAAACAGGAGGUUACAAUACAGAGGGGUGAAAACCACCAUGAGGAGCUGAGCAGACUUCACGUGAUUUGAGAAGCACUUAAAGGACAAAUAGUUCUCCAUCCUCAUCUGUCAUAGGACCUUGCAAUUUCCAUCAGAGUCACUCCUUGGGGUUAAGGCCUUCCUUGAAUAUCAAGCAUCCCAGCUUCUUUUGGAGGAAUCCCUUUGUUCCUCCUAGUAACUCUGGUGGGUCUGUCAGCCAAGGCUCCCUGCCUUCCUCUAGCCAAAAGGUGAGCAUGUGACUUACACUGGACCAGUCACUUCUCCUAGGACUUUGGCUGCAGAGGGAAGUGAGCCAGAGAAGGCAGAGACUUGGAGCUGAUCCAUCCUGGCAACAAAGCCCCAGAAAGAGACCAUCCAGCACCUUCUGCUUCCUAGACCUCCUGAGCUGCCCUGGAUUCCACCCUUCUCCUGGUUCUGAGCUUGGUCCUCCUUUUUCUAUCAGUUCUAGGAGUUCCCUCAAUUACUUGCAUUCAAAGGGCUUUAUCUGGUUCAGAGAGAUUAGGUAACUUGUUUAAGAUCACACAGCAAAGACAUUGUGACUCCAAAUUCACACUAUACCAUGCUGUCCAGUGCUCCUAGAAGUCUGCCCUUUGGUCCUAGGGGUGUCCUUAUUAGUGCCAGAAACGAAUGUGAAGUUCAAGGAAGUGGCAGAAACCCUCAUUCACCACAACCCUGUAGAUAACAAAAGAGGCUGGGGCUGGCAGUGUGGAAAGGGCAGGCAGCAGCAAGAGCUAGACUUUGUUUCCCAGGCCCUGCUCCUCCUUUGGUCUGUGGCAUGAUGCUUCAAGGCCCAUUGCCCAGCGUUUCUCCCUCACCAUCUGCCCACUGACUAGCAGGGAAACAACCAAUGUGCAGCAAGUACUGCCUCUCUACCUGCCCAUAAGACCCAACUUUUCAGUGUCUGGAAAGCACCUGGUGCCAGCUUUGGGCCUGCUGCUUUUUUAGAAGUACAGACAAAAAGAAUUUGAUUGCAAAGUGCUCCCAGCUUGCCUUGGACCCAUAGGAUGGGACCUGGCUUCAGACUGUACAUGAGCACAGAGCUUCUUAAGGGGAGGCAGGCCAAGUGAUGGGGAUAGCAAGGGGGUUCAGUAAAUGCUCGAGCUGGGACAAUAUGGGAAUCUGUGGGAAUGUAAGAAAGAGCUCUGUCAUUCUUCAUCAAGUUGGAGGGAGAAGGGUCAAGAUUAGAAACAGAGGGGGAAUGAAAGGCUGAUUUUAGAAACAUAUUGUUUACAUCCAUUGUACUUGGGGAUUUUCUAGUUACCUUUUGGUACUGAUUUCUAGCCUAGUUCCAAUGUGACUAGAUUACUCUAUCUGAUUUUAAUCCUUUGCAAUUUGUUGAGACCUGUGCUGUGGACCAGAGUGUGGUCCAUUUUGACAGAUGUUUCAUGUGCUCGAGUGUGUGUUCUGCAGUUUUGUAACGCAUGUUUUUUUUGUUUGUUCUAUAAAAUAUUAAGAGAAGUGUAUUAAAAUCUCCCAUUAUGGGACUUCCCUGGUGGCGCAGUGGUUAAGAAUCUGCCUGCCAAUGCAGGGGACACGGUUCAAGCCCUGGUCCGGAAAGAUCCCACAUGCCACGGAGCAACUAAGCCCGUGAGCCACAACUACUGAGCGGCAUGCCACAGCUACUGAAACCUGCGUGCCUAGAGCCUGUGCUCCACAACAAGAGAAGCCACCGCAAUGAGAAGCCUGCGCACCACAACGAAGAGUAGCCCCCACUCGCCACAACUAGAGAAAGCCCGCGCGCAGCAACAAAGACCCAACA